rnacentral:rRNA from 1 species
UAAGGAAUAUUGGUCAAUGGACGCAAGUCUGAACCAGCCAUGCCGCGUGAAGGAUGAAGGUCCUCUGGAUUGUAAACUUCUUUUAUCAGGGCCGAAAACGGGAUUUUUAUCUCAAUUGACGGUACCAGAGGAGUAAGCACCGGCUAACUCCGUGCCAGCAGCCGCGGUAAUACGGAGGGUGCGAGCGUUAUCCGGAUUUACUGGGUUUAAAGGGUGCGUAGGUGGGCUUAUAAGUCAGUGGUGAAAUCUCCGAGCUUAACUUGGAAACUGCCGUUGAUACUAUAGGUCUUGAAUUAUCUGGAGGUAAGCGGAAUAUGACAUGUAGCGGUGAAAUGCUUAGAUAUGACAUAGAACACCAAUUGCGAAGGCAGCUUACUACAUAUAAAUUGACGCUGAGGCACGAAAGCGUGGGGAUCAAACA